rnacentral:rRNA from 1 species
CCUACGGGAGGCAGCAGUGGGGAAUAUUGGACAAUGGGGGCAACCCUGAUCCAGCCAUGCCGCGUGUGUGAAGAAGGCCCUCGGGUUGUAAAGCACUUUCAGUGAGGAAGAACGCCUGGUGGUUAAUACCCAUCAGGAAAGACAUCACUCACAGAAGAAGCACCGGCUAACUCCGUGCCAGCAGCCGCGGUAAUACGGAGGGUGCGAGCGUUAAUCGGAAUUACUGGGCGUAAGCGCGCGUAGGUGGCUUGAUAAGCCGGUUGUGAAAGCCCCGGGCUCAACCUGGGAACGGCAUCCGGAACUGUCAAGCUAGAGUGCAGGAGAGGAAGGUAGAAUUCCCGGUGUAGCGGUGAAAUGCGUAGAGAUCGGGAGGAAUACCAGUGGCGAAGGCGGCCUUCUGGACUGACACUGACACUGAGGUGCGAAAGCGUGGGUAGCAAACAGGAUUAGAUACCCUGGUAGUC